rnacentral:rRNA from 1 species
UACGGAGGGUGCAAGCGUUAUCCGGAUUCCCUGGGUUUAAAGGGUGCGCAGGUGGAUUGGAAAGUCAGUGGUGAAAUCUCCGGGCUUAACUCGGAAACUGCCAUUGAUACUAUCAAUCUUGAAUACCGUGGAGGUCAGCGGAAUAUGUCAUGUAGCGGUGAAAUGCAUAGAUAUGACAUAGAACACCGAUUGCGAAGGCAGCUGGCUAGACGAAUAUUGACACUGAGGCACGAAAGCGUGGGGAUCAAACAGG